GACGAAGGGGGCUAGCGUUGUUCGGAAUUACUGGGCGUAAAGCGCGUGUAGGUGGUUGUCCAAGUUGGAUGUGAAAGCCUUGAGCUCAACUCAAGAAAUGCAUUCAGGACUGGAUGGCUAGAGGACCGGAGAGGAUAGUGGAAUUCCCAGUGUAGUGGUGAAAUACGUAGAGAUUGGGAAGAACACCAGUGGCGAAGGCGGCUAUCUGGGCGGUUUCUGACACUAAGACGCGAAAGCGUGGGGAGCAAACAGG
rnacentral:rRNA from 1 species